CGUCCAACAACUAAGAAAAUAGUUUAAGACGUUCAAGAAAAUCCUUCGAAGUUAGUUCAAGCAAAACAUUGAUAACCUCCAACAAUGAACGACAAGGACUCAAAAAAUCAGACUUCCUCCAAGCACAACAUGAAGUUCAAGUUCCAACCUCCAACCUCCAACAGAAUAGGAUGAUGAGAAGAAAACGGUACCAAUAAUUCAUUGUCACUAUCAAUCUUUCUUCUAUAUCUUUAAAAGGAUUCAUAUCAGUUCUGUUUUUAAAUUUUAUAAGAAAACGGUACCAAUAAUUCAUUAUCACUAUCAAUCUUUCUUCUAUAUCUUUAAAAGGUUCCAUAUCAGUUCCGUUUUUAAAUUUUAUAUAAUUCAUUGUCAGAAAUUUUUUACCUUGGAUACUGGGUCAAAAUAUGUUUAUAAAAGUCCAUUGUCAGUCCUGUCUUUCAAGUUUUUAUAAUUCAUUGUCGGAUUGAUGAAUUUUCUAUCUUGGAAUCUGGGUCUCAAGCACGACCUUCACAAACUCUGACAAUGGAGUGCGAGGAAAAGAACAAGGUGUAGACAAAAUUCAUUCUCACUAUCAAUCUUUAUUUUAUAUGUUUAUAAAAAUUCAUCAAUUAUCUACUUUGGAAUCUGGAUCUCAUAAAGAUAAAAUUAUUAUUAUUAUUAUUUUUCAUUGAAACCAAUAGAACUGUGUUACUGUAACCUCUAUACAUUUCUCAACUUUCAGAACUGUGUUCGACAUAUGAUAAGUGGAACUCUGUUAAGAAAAUAGGAGAGAAUGAUUUAUUACAGACUCUUGUCAUAUUUCAAUCGUAUAAUGGCACAGCCAUCGGUUUGAGGGUAAAACCUCCGGUUCUGGUUGCGGAGGGAACAAGGGGCGUCUACUUUUCUGUGUUUAAACCUGUAUAUGAAGAACCAACCAGUUUCAAUAAUCCACGGGGUCAUACCGAUGCUAGUGAAUGUUUUAAAAAGGGAGUGACUGCUGGAGAGGGAACAUAUAGAGAAUAUGGUGCAUACUGUUUAGACCAUAGUGGCUUCUUUGGGGUUCCUCCAACCAUUAUAGUGGAGUGUUCUAGCCUGCUGUUUGAUAAUGCAGCCGAGGGAACAAUAUGAAACUUGGCUCCUUGCGGAAGUUCAUUGAGAAUGAAGGAAGCUGUGAUGACAGGGGCCAGGUGAGGAGGUCCACAAAAUAGUAAUUUUGGACAUAAGGUUGGCUAAUACAGACCGCCACGCCGGAAAUAUACUAUGGGGCAAAGACCAAGAUGGCCAUACGUUUUUGGUGCUCAUUGAUCAUGGAAUGUCUACCCCGGAGAGUUUAAUUACUCUUUUCAAUUUGCUUUUUGAAGAUUACACUUGGAUCUGCUAAAUGGGAACCGUCCCCGAAGUCUGCCAGGAUACUAUGAAUUUCUACCAUACUCCUUCAAAAAGGAGCAGAGGCUGGAAGCACACCCAGAGACAUUGGACGAAUAAUUUGCAGUGAUUUUCUUGAUAAUAAGUCCGAGAUGGAGAAUAUGGUUGAGAAGGCAGAGAAAUCAAUGUCUAAUUGCUCAAAUGAAGAUGAAUUCAUGAAAUGUACAGCAAAGCUGUUGAAUGCCUAUUAAUUCCAAAAACUUAAACUUUCAAUGGAUUUUUAUUUGAUUUAUAUUUUUUUCUGAUAAAAGCUUCCAGAUAGGCACUUUAGCAUAACUCCUGACAAUCGGGUGAUAGCAGUUUUUUGUAAAUUUUUUCUUUUUUUUUUUGGGGUAAAUUGGCAUUUGUUGCAUAUAUAUGUACAUCUGGACUGUGUUAAAAAGUAAAUAAUAAAUAAUUUGUAAUUUUGUAUCAAA